ensembl:lncRNA LINC01969 long intergenic non-protein coding RNA 1969
GGCAGGGCUCGGGUUUCCACACGUCUCGGUCAUGGUACCUGAGGCCGUUCUGUACGCAGAUUAGAAAACUGAGGCCCAGAGAAGGAAAGUAGCUGCCAGAGGUCACACAGCUAGGAUUGAGGGAUCAGAGGUUGCACCCUUCUAGGAACUUCCGCCUGAGGGAGACUGGUCAGAGCUCAGGAGGGACUGUUCCAGGGGAUGAGAUAUCUGCUGGCCAGGAAAGGCAUGGGAACUGGGCAGCGGAGCACACCCUCCGGACCUGGCCCAACUUCAGAAUAACAACAAAUGAUUGUGCCAGGCUCUGCCAGUUCCUCCUCCCCCACAAGCUGGCACAUGUGGAUAUUGGCUCUGUUUUGCCUUUGACCCCUAGUGAAAGAAAAUACUGAGACGGAGUCUCGCUCUGUCGCCCAGGUUGGAGUGAAGCGGCUAGAUCUCAGCUCACUGCAACCUCUGCCUCCCAGGUUUAAGCAAUUCUCCUGUCUCAGCCUCCAGAGUAGCUGGGACUACAGGCGCAUGCCACCAUGCCCUACUAAUUUUUUGUAUUUUUAGGAGAGACAGGCCUUCACCAUGUUGGUCAAGCUGGUCUCGAACUCCUGACCUCAGGUGACCCACCGGCUUCAGCCUCCCAAAGUGCUGGGAUUACAGGCAUGAGCCACCGCGCCCAGCCUCAUAUCUAUCUUUAUCACUCCAUUUCAGAUCUUCUUCCAUAUAUGGCUCUGUGUGUCUCCUGUCCUUCCCUGUCUCCUCACUGCUUUUCAGCUGGUAGACCCCUGUGGGGACAACAGAUCAGAGCUUGGUCACCAAUAUGGACAUCUAGGUCUGAGCAGGGCCCACUCCCCGGGGGCGCAUCAGCUCCAUCCCGGCACCCUUUACACUGGCCUUCUCUUCACAAAGGACCACAGGUCAUCCUCAAGCCUUCCUCCCAGGCUAUCCUUGUCCCUGAAUACUAAUGUCUAAAGGUCAGCCCAGCUACCAGCAGUGUGCAUGUGAUGUGUCCCAUCUCCCCUUCGGAUUGGAGGAAGAAGCUGUGUCCCUCCCAUCAGACAGACGGUCUCCUUAAAGAUUCUCCUGGUCUCCAGCUUGGGCUCUGCUGGAAAGAAGAGGAAGUAUUUAGCAAGGGUGAAGAUGGGUUCUUACUUCCCUGAGGCAACCAGAGAUAAGAAAAGACCAGAAUAUGAAUAUCCAGCAUUCCACAAAGAAUCCUACAGGCAGGGAUAUUGCCCAAUCACCAGUGCCUCGCAUCCCAGUUCUAUCCAAGAUCCAAGCUUGAUAUCCUCCUGAAAGACUUCCUGAAUCAGGUCACCAACAUGGACAUCUGAACUUCCAGAAUCAGGUCACCGUCUUUCUUCUCAUCUCUGGAUGUAUUUGGAGCUCAUUUGUCUGACGGUUUUUGAAUGCUAUCUUUUAAAAAUAAACUUUUACAAUUUGGGUUUAAUAA